CACAAAGUUUAGUUUAAACUGCUUUACGCUUAUUAUCUAUACUAUUAUAAGUAAAGAGGAGUCCAAAAUUCAACAUGUUCAUUUUGAAGUAUGAAAUAAGUUCAUUUUCAUAAUGUCACCAUUUCUUUGGUAUUAUCUUUAAAUUGUCAAACUAUCAUUAUGUUUUCACUCACCCCUUAUUUGUAUGUUUUCGAUUUUAUGUAUAACAUUCAAUUUUUGUUCCUUGGUUUGGACCAUGACAAUUAAAACUUUUAAUUUUAUAAUAAGAUUUCAAUUUUCAUAAACAUUUUUGGAUUUAUGACAUAUGUGUGGCCGAAAUUUUAUUUUAUAAAAUAGAUAUAAACUUCAGAGUUCCGCCACUGCCUGGACAUGCGAAAUGGCUUUAAUAUUCUCCACCUUCUUCUUCUCCGUUUUUUUUCUUCUCUUCUUCUUCAAAUAAACUUCCACCGUUAACAAACUUGGAAGCUGAAAUCAUUCUCUGUAACCACUGCAGCCAAAAUCAACAUGUAAAGGAAACUGCUUAAGGAAUAUGAUAAUAGAUGGAUAACUUCACCUGUUUCGUUUCUUUUUUAAAAUAUUUGAAUGUUAUUCUUCAAAAGAACUGCUUCAAGAAUCUGGACAUAAUAGAUGGAUAAUUUCUCUUAAAUGUAAAAUGUGAAUUCCAAAACUCCAUCCCACCCGAACUGAAACGCACAAUGAACAAACAAAUCAAAAAAAAAAAAAAAAGGAAAGAAAGCGCUGAUUGACGACACAAAACAGCAACUUAUAUGAUCUCGGAAACAAAAAAAAAGAGAUAUGGUGAUGAUCCUAGGAGCGGUGUUAUUCGAUGGUAGCAAUGAUAUUAUAUGAAUAUAGUGGUUCAACUCCUGCAAAAAUUUGACGAAAUGAAGAGGUUAAUUUAUGGACGUCGAUAUACUCUUUUAAAAGAGCAAAAGUGCUGGCGGAAGUUGUUUUUGGGUCUUUGAGCUCUGUGUUAAACUGUUGACACAGGAUUUUGGGGACCCAGAAAGAAGUAGAAGGAGAAGCAACACAAAAACCAGGGAAGAAGAAGAAGGAAAAUUAAGCAGGAAGAAUAAAAUGAAUUAAAAUUUUAAAAGGAAAAACAUAUUAGGUGGAAUAUAUUAAAGCUAAAUGCUGGUUUUCUAUUCGACCAUAUUGAAAAAUAAAACUAUUAUUUUUAAAGGUUAAAA